AGUGAACGCUGGCGGUAGGCCUAACACAUGCAAGUCGAACGGCAGCACAGUAAGAGCUUGCUCUUACGGGUGGCGAGUGGCGGACGGGUGAGGAAUACAUCGGAAUCUACUUUUUCGUGGGGGAUAACGUAGGGAAACUUACGCUAAUACCGCAUACGACCUACGGGUGAAAGCAGGGGAUCUUCGGACCUUUCGCGAUUGAAUGAGCCGAUGUCGGAUUAGCUAGUUGGUGGGGUAAAGGCCCACCAAGGCGACGAUCCGUAGCUGGUCUGAGCGGAUGAUCAGCCACACGGGAACUGAGACACGGUCCAGACUCCUACGGGAGGCAGCAGUGGGGAAUAUUGGACAAUGGGCGCAAGCCUGAUCCAGCCAUACCGCGUGGGUGAAGAAGGCCUUCGGGUUGGAAAGCCCUCUUGUUGGGAAAGAAAAGCAGCAGGUUAAUACCCAGCUGUUCUGACGGUACCCAAAGAAGAAGCACCGGCUAACUUCGUG
rnacentral:rRNA from 1 species